rnacentral:piRNA from 1 species
UGGGAUGACUGAGCAUCUCUGUGCCA